rnacentral:rRNA from 1 species
GUCGAACGGCAGCACAGGAGAGCUUGCUCUCUGGGUGGCGAGUGGCGGACGGGUGAGGAAUACAUCGGAAUCUACUUUUUCGUGGGGGAUAACGUAGGGAAACUUACGCUAAUACCGCAUACGACCUACGGGUGAAAGCAGGGGAUCUUCGGACCUUGCGCGAUUGAAUGAGCCGAUGUCGGAUUAGCUAGUUGGCGGGGUAAAGGCCCACCAAGGCGACGAUCCGUAGCUGGUCUGAGAGGAUGAUCAGCCACACUGGAACUGAGACACGGUCCAGACUCCUACGGGAGGCAGCAGUGGGGAAUAUUGGACAAUGGGCGCAAGCCUGAUCCAGCCAUACCGCGUGGGUGAAGAAGGCCUUCGGGUUGUAAAGCCCUUUUGUUGGGAAAGAAAUCCAGCUGGUUAAUACCCGGUUGGGAUGACGGUACCCAAAGAAUAA